CAGUUACUGUGUUCUAUGUCAAUUUAGGGUUGCUUUGUAAUGUCCUUUUAUUAUUUUAUUCAUGUUGACAGAAUCGUAGGAUAGAGUUGUGGAGUUUGAUUCAAACUCUAUUUCAGUCAUUGGGUUUGAAU